rnacentral:rRNA from 1 species
CUCCAGACUCCUACGGGAGGCAGCAGUGGGGGAUAUUGCACAAUGGGGAAACCCUGAUGCAGCGACGACGCGUGGGUGAAGAAGUAUUUCGGUAUGUAAAGCCCUAUCAGCAGGGAAGAAAGAAGACGGUACCUGACUAAGAAGCCCCGGCUAACUACGUGCCAGCAGCCGCGGUAAUACGUAGGGGGCGAGCGUUAACCGGAAUCACUGGGGGUAAAGGGAGCGUAAGCCGCCGUGGAAGCCAGGCGGGAAAAGCCGGGGGCCCAACCCCGGGACUGCUCUUGGAACUGUGCGGCUAGAGUGCGGGAGGGGCAGGCGGAAUUCCUGGUGUAGCGGUGAAAUGCGUAGAUAUCAGGAGGAACACCGGGGGCGAAGGCGGCCUGCUGGACCGCGGCUGACGUUGAGGCUCGAAAGCGUGGGGAGCGAACAGGAUUAGAUACCCCCGUAA